CCCUUAGAUGUUCUGGGCUGCACGCGCGCUACACUGAUGUGUUCAUCGGGUUCGACCUUGCCCGGGAGGGUUGGGUAAUCCUUUCAAAACACAUCGUGAUGGGGAUAGAUUAUUGCAAUUAUUAAUCUUCAACGAGGAAUUCCUAGUAAGCGCGAGUCAUCAGCUCGUGCUGAUUACGUCCCUGCCCUUUGUACACACCGCCCGUCGCACCUACCGAUUGAAUGGUCCGGUGAAAUCUCGGGACGGCGGCUUGGUCGCUUGCGUCCGACUGCUGAAACUUGAUUAAACCAUNUNAUUUAGNGGAAGGUGAANUCGUANCA
rnacentral:rRNA from 1 species